AGAGUUUGAUCCUGGCUCAGGAUGAACGCUGGCGGCGUGCUUAACACAUGCAAGUCGAACGAAGCAUUUAAGGACGAUUCUUCGGAUGAGGACUUUUAUGACUGAGCGGCGGACGGGUGAGUAACGCGUGGGCAACCUGCCUUACACAGGGGGAUAACAGUUAGAAAUGACUGCUAAUACCGCAUAAGACCGCAGUACCGCAUGGUACAGCGGCAAAAACUCCGGUGGUGUAAGAUGGGCCCGCGUCUGAUUAGGUAGUUGGCGGGGUAACGGCCCACCAAGCCGACGAUCAGUAGCCGACCUGAGAGGGUGACCGGCCACAUUGGGACUGAGACACGGCCCAGACUCCUACGGGAGGCAGCAGUGGGGAAUAUUGCACAAUGGGGGAAACCCUGAUGCAGCGACGCCGCGUGAGCGAUGAAGUAUUUCGGUAUGUAAAGCUCUAUCAGCAGGGAAGAAUUAGGACGGUACCUGACUAAGAAGCCCCGGCUAACUACGUGCCAGCAGCCGCGGUAAUACGGAAGGUCCGGGCGUUAUCCGGAUUUAUUGGGUUUAAAGGGAGCGUAGGCCGGCUUUUAAGUCAGCUGUGAAAGUCCGCGGCUCAACCGUGGAAUUGCAGUUGAAACUGGAGGCCUUGAGUGCACACAGGGAUGCCGGAAUUCAUGGUGUAGCGGUGAAAUGCUUAGAUAUCAUGAAGAACUCCGAUUGCGAAGGCAGCAUACCGGCGCCCAACUGACGCUGAAGCACGAAAGCGUGGGUAUCGAACAGGAUUAGAUACCCUGGUAGUCCACGCAGUAAACGAUGAAUGCUAAUUGUCCGGAGGGAUUGACCUCUGGGUGAUACAGCGAAAGCGUUAAGCAUUCCACCUGGGGAGUACGCCGGCAACGGUGAAACUCAAAGGAAUUGACGGGGGCCCGCACAAGCGGAGGAACAUGUGGUUUAAUUCGAUGAUACGCGAGGAACCUUACCCGGGCUCAAACGCAGGAGGAAUACAUUUGAAAGGGUGUAGCUCUACGGAGUCUUCUGCGAGGUGCUGCAUGGUUGUCGUCAGCUCGUGCCGUGAGGUGUCGGCUUAAGUGCCAUAACGAGCGCAACCCCUAUCGACAGUUGCCAACAGGUUAAGCUGGGAACUCUGUCGAGACUGCCGGCGCAAGCUGAGAGGAAGGCGGGGAUGACGUCAAAUCAGCACGGCCCUUACGUCCGGGGCGACACACGUGUUACAAUGGCGGCCACAGCGGGAAGCCAGGCGGCGACGCCGAGCGGAACCCGAAAAGCCGUCUCAGUUCGGAUUGGAGUCUGCAACCCGACUCCAUGAAGCUGGAUUCGCUAGUAAUCGCGCAUCAGCCACGGCGCGGUGAAUACGAAGCCGGGCCUUGUACACACCGCCCGUCA
rnacentral:rRNA from 1 species